GCUGUGUUGUGUGCAUAGUUUUUGUCUGUGCUAAUGCUGCUGUCUGUUUAUGCUUUGUAUUCAUGUUUGCUAUUCACACAAAUAUCAAGCUGUCAAAAUUUACUGGUCUAGUGUUUUCUAUUGGGACAUAACUACCACUUGACAACAUCCAAAUUCCUACAUGU